GGAGAGAUGGCAGAGUGGUUUAUUGCGUCGGUCUUGAAAACCGAAGUGCCGUCAAACGGUACCGGGGGUUCGAAUCCCUCUCUCUCCGCCA
rnacentral:tRNA from 1 species